GCCUUUGUGGUGUAGUGGUCAACACGCUUGAUGCAUAUUCAAGAGGUCUGUGGUUCAAAUCCUGGUGAGUGCA
rnacentral:tRNA from 1 species